UACGAAGGGGGCUAGCGUUGCUCGGAAUUACUGGGCGUAAAGCGCGCGCAGGUUGCCUGUUAAGUCGGGGGUGAAAGCCCAGAGCUCAACUCUGGAAUUGCCUUCGAAACUGGCAGGCUAGAGUCCGGAAGAGGAGAGUAGAAUUCCCAGUGUAGAGGUGAAAUUCGUAGAUAUUGGGAAGAAUACCAGUGGCGAAGGCGGCUCUCUGGUCCGGUUCUGACACUGAGGCGCGAAAGCGUGGGGAGCGAACAGG
rnacentral:rRNA from 1 species